AAAAAAAAUUCUAUGUGAAAAAAUUUACAGAUAAAUAAAUUUUUUAUGGUUUGUUUAUUUUAUUUUAAGUUUAUUUUACAUGUAAAUUUUAGUGUUAUAUAUUAAUUAUUUAAAUAAUAUUUAAUUUUUUUGCAGUAAUUAAUUUUAAAAAUUUAAGAAAUUAAGAUUUAGUAAUAUUUAAAUUAAUAACUAAUUUUGUGCCAGCAGUUGCGGUUAUACAAAAGUUAAUUUAAAAUUUUUUAGUUAUUAAUAAUUAAUUAGGUUAAUAAUUUAAAUUAAGAAUUAUUAGGUGAAAUUUUAAUUUUUUAAAAAAUUAUUUUAUAAUUAUGAAUUAAUAAAUUUUGUUAAAAACUAGGAUUAGAUACCCUAUUAUUAAAAAAUUAAAUAAAAAUACUAAAAUAGUAGAUAAUUUAUUGAAACUUAAAUAAUUUGGCGGUAUUUUAGUUUAUUUAGAGGAAUCUGUUUAAUAAUUGAUAAUCCACGAAUAAAUUUACUUAAUUUAAAAUUUUGUAUAUCGUUGUUAAAAAAAUAUUUUUUUAUAAUAAUAAUAUUUAAAAUUUAAAAUUAAAAAUUAAAUCAGAUCAAGAUGCAGAAUAUAAUUAAGAAUAUAAUGGAUUACAAUAAAUUUAUUUAAUUUGGAUUUUAAUAUGGAAAGAUUAAAUGAAAUUGGAUUUAAAUGUAAUUUUAUAAAAUUUUAUAAAAUGAUUAAUAAUUAAAAUAUGUACAUAUUGCCCGUCGCUUUCAUUUAUAAAUUGGAAUAAGUCGUAACAAAGUAGAGGUACUGGAAAGUGUUUCUAGAAAGAU
rnacentral:ncRNA from 1 species